GACGAACGCUGGCGGCGUGCUUAACACAUGCAAGUCGAACGGAAAGGCCCUGCAUUUGUGGGAUGCUCGAGUGGCGAACGGGUGAGUAACACGUGAGUAACCUGCCCUUGACUUUGGGAUAACUUCAGGAAACUGGGGCUAAUACCGGAUAGGAUCUCCUGCUGCAUGGUGGGGGUUGGAAAGUUUCGGCGGUUGGGGAUGGACUCGCGGCUUAUCAGCGUGUUGGUGGGGUAGUGGCUUACCAAGGCUUUGACGGGUAGCCGGCCUGAGAGGGUGACCGGGCACAUUGGGACUGUAAUACGGCCCAGACUCCUACGGGCGGCAGCAGUGGGGAAUAUUGCACAAUGGGCGGAAGCCUGAUGCAGCAACGCCGCGUGCGAGAAGACGGCCUUCGGGUUGUAAACCGCUUUCGCCUGUGACGAAGCGUGAGUGACGGUAAUGGGUAAAGAAGCACCGGCUAACUACGUG
rnacentral:rRNA from 1 species